rnacentral:rRNA from 1 species
AUUGAACGCUGGCGGCAGGCCUAACACAUGCAAGUCGGACGGUAGCACAGAGGAGCUUGCUCCUUGGGUGACGAGUGGCGGACGGGUGAGUAAUGUCUGGGGAUCUGCCCGAUAGAGGGGGAUAACCACUGGAAACGGUGGCUAAUACCGCAUAACGUCGCAAGACCAAAGAGGGGGACCUUCGGGCCUUUCACUAUCGGAUGAACCCAGAUGGGAUUAGCUAGUAGGCGGGGUAAUGGCCCACCUAGGCGACGAUCCCUAGCUGGUCUGAGAGGAUGACCAGCCACGCUGGAACUGAGACACGGUCCAGACUCCUACGGGAGGCAGCAGUGGGGAAUAUUGCACAAUGGGCGCAAGCCUGAUGCAGCCAUGCCGCGUGUAUGAAGAAGGCCUUCGGGUUGUAAAGUACUUUCAGCGGGGAGGAAGGCGGUGAGGUUAAUAACCUCACCGAUUGACGUUACCCGCAGAAGAAGCACCGGCUAACUCCGUGCCAGCCGCCGCGGUAA